GCCGGUUUGGCUCAGUGGAUAGAGUGUCUGCCUGCGGACUGAAGAGUCACCGGUUCGAUUCCGGUCAAGGGCA
rnacentral:tRNA from 1 species